rnacentral:lncRNA from 1 species
GCCUGGUUUUGUUAAGUUAACAGUACCAAUCACUCUCUUCAGCUGUCCAUUUGCCAUAAAUUCUCCAGUCUUUGUGGAAAUCACUAAUUGUCUCAACAGGAGUUAUGCUUCCAAUGUUUCUUCUGAUUCAUUUAAGGGACACACAUAUGCAACCAUGACUAAAUUAUCACCAUCCGAUUUGAAAGUCGGGUGUAGUGUAGACCUCAUGUCAAUGACUUCAUGGCCUAUUCAGGAUGCAUAUGCCAACAUUUCUAUUUUAAGUUUGCAUAAUGCUUUGGCAUAUGGAUUUGAGCUUUCAUGGUUUCCUAACAUUCAUUGUGGCAAGUGCGCCAACUCAAUGAUAUGUGAAGGGAAAAAUUCAAGUGAUGUUCAUUGUUUGGAUUACAGCUGCAAAACUUACAAUUUUAGAUUCUUCAAAUCGUCGUGUGGUAAGAACAUUCCUAAUGUCAUGCUUAGACACUUUUAUUAGCAUUUUUUUCUGUGCAUGUUUUAAUGUUUUUUUCUUUUUCCGGGUCGGUAUUUUUUCUUUGGAUGACCACAAUCAAGCUUACUAUUCCCACGUUCUUGAUAGUAAGCAGUCGUACUUCUAUUGUCAAUUCUGUUUUAUAUAACGGUAACUAGUUGCAAGUUAGAUUAACUGAGUUAUUGAUUGUUGGUGUUUUUGCAGCAAUCAUCCCAUGGAUACUUCCCAUAGCUGGUAAGUCACAUCUUUCGUCUUUCAAAUUUAUUACUAGAAAUCAUUCUAAUGUCGAAAUGGAGCAGACGUUGGUGGUUGAAUUUUUUAAUUUAACCAUUCACAAACUUUUCUUGCUUAUUUGUGAUGGUUGUACACAGGGCUUAGCAUUGUGCCAAGAAUCGUUCUAUUUCCAUGCAUAGUUGUAUUUCUAAUGAUUAAGUUACGAAGAAGGCAUUUGUCGAUUUAUGAUGCAAUUGAAAGUUUCCUGCACGGUGAGAACAAUUUCGCGCCCAUUAGAUAUUCCAACUCCAACAUAAGAAAGAUGACUAGGAACUUUAAAGAGAAACCCCAUUAGCAGAACAAAGAAAUCAGUGUGUCCCUUUUAGUUGUGGGGAUAUUCAUAACAUCAAUUUUCCCUUUCGAUUGAAAAGUGAUCCAAAGCACUGUGGCCUUAAAAAUUAUGAAUUGAGCUGUGAAGGAGAUCGCGCCAUAAUCACAAUACUGCCACGUGAUUGGAAUGAAUCACUGAACUACUAUGUUCAAGCCAUCAAUUACGAUAACUCCACUAUCCGCCUUGUAGAUCCUGGUAUAAGAGAACAAGUUAUUUGCUCUCUUCCUCAGAAUUCGAUUUCGGUUUACACUUCCCUUUCUGGUUUUGAUUCUUCUAUAAAAUCAAUGCCUGGUUUUGUUAAGUUAACAGUACCAAUCACUCUCUUCAGCUGUCCAUUUGCCUUAAAUUCUCCAGUCUUUGUGGAAAUCACUAAUUGUCUCAACAGGAGUUAUGCUUCCAAUGUUUCUUCUGAUUCAUUUAAGGGACACACAUAUGCAACCAUGACUGAAUUAUCACCAUCCGAUUUGAAAGUCGGGUGUAGUGUAGACCUCAUGUCAAUGACUUCAUGGCAUAUUCAGGAUGCAAAUGCUAAUAUUUCUAUUUUGAGUUUGCAUAACUCUUUGGCAUAUGGAUUUGACCUUUCAUCUCCUUCUAGCAUUUGAGUUACAACUUUGAUGGAUGGCCGAUCUAUCGCAUUCCAUUGGAUGCACCAAACUCCUAUAACAGCCAAUUUCCUUACAAUUAUAACAUCAUCAUCUUCCUCAAUCCUGAUUUUCAACUCUUCUCCUUGAUUCAGCCGCUCAUGAAUCCACUCGGGAAAGUUCAUUUGGCUAGUAUCCGCCUUUGCAUCAAAAUUCUUCCUCCCUCCAACCAUUUCAAGAAGCAGCAUUCCAAAGCUUUAAACAUCAGAUUUAUGAGACGCUGUUCCGAAAUUGCUUGACAACACUUCUGGUGCAAUAUAACCCAUGGUUCCUCUAGCUUCAGUCAUAGAGAUAACACUUUUCUCUUUAGAGCAUAACUUGGCAAGACCAAAAUCAGAGAUCUUUGGGUUCAAGUUAUGGUCUAACAGAAUAUUUUUGAGGCUUGAUAUCGAAAUGAAGGAUUUGUUGGUCACAUCCUUGAUGAAGAUACUCUAGCCCUUUUGCUAUUCCCAUAGCAAUAUCAUGAAGCUUCUUCCAAGUAAGGGUGAUAUUAUCUUUGAAACUUGUCGGAAAAAUGAGCUUGUCAAGUGACUGAUUUGGCAAGUAUUCAAACACUAGAGCUCUUCUAACUCCAUCAGCACAGAAGCCAACUAGGCGAACCACGUUGACAUGAUGGAUUUUCCCCAUUGCUGCAACUUCAUUAAUAAAUUCUUCCCCAUUUCCUUCAGAAUCAUUGAGAAUUUUUACAGCAACGUGAAUUUCAUUCGAAAGUGUUCCUUUAUAAACGAUCCCGUAAGCUCCCUCUCCCAAUAUUUCCUGAAACUGAUUUGUUAUCUUUUUAAUAUCUGCAUAAGUAUAUCUAGUCGGUCUGCGAUCUCUAUAGUCUUCCAAAAACUUUUCAACUCUGGCUUGAUUCUCUCUUUCAAUUUUGCUUGAGCUAUAACACUCAUAGAAUGCCAUCAUAAUAAUUCCCAAAAGAAUGAGACCUAUAACUCCACCUGGAAUAUGUUCUCUCACAAAUUAUCAGAAGGCAAUCAAAAGUAUGUAAGGGAGAAAAAUUAAUACCAAAACUCACAAGAGUACAUACCUGCAAUCAGUGGUUUCUUUCCGCCGCCUGUCAGAAUUAAAUCAAUUUUUUGUUAUGGAAUAGAGAAGUACAUGAUCAUGGCAUUAAAGAUAGGUUUGUCAAUACCUUUUGUAGUGAAUGGUCGGUCGAAACACUGAGUAGUCAGUUGUUUAGUAUAGUUCUUGAAGCCACAAUCCUUUUCAAGACCUUCACAGUAGCUACAGUUUGUAUUAAGCCAACUGAGUCUUAUCACACUGUAAGUCGUCAUACCGUAUGAUGGAAUUUCAUGAAUCUUUAUGCAAGUUGUAUGGGGGAGUGAAUAUAAAGAGUAGGAAACAGCAAAUAGUGUUUUGUCAGAGGCACAAUCUGAAUAGUAGUUCCGAUAAUAUGCUGGCAUACCAGAACAUUUGAAAAUUGAAAUGUUUUCUAGUGUAAGAUAAGGCUCGGCAACAGUGAAGGAGAAAGGAGAUUCUGAUAAAUUAAGGUGCAAUAGCUUGAGAAUGAGACAACGUUCAGGAUCAGAAAGCCUAAUCUGCUGAGACAUAUAAUCAAUUUCUUCAACAAUUAGUGUAAGUGAAUUGGGAAGUAUGAGUAUGGUUCGGUUUUUGAGGUCACAAGAUAACUCAAAGCCUGGAUAGCCACAAUAUUCUGGCUGGUGGUGAAGCCUGAAGGGAAAAUGAAUUCUAGGGCCAUGUCUUCCACACCUGGAGACACUGCAAUUAUAUGCUCCUUCACCAUCCAUAGCCAACAAUACUAUGAUGAUGAGAAAUAAGUGCAAGAGGAAAAAGAUGGUCAUCUCGACUGACACGGCUUAUAGACUCCUAUGACGCGAGCUUCUCUAAUACCAAGUUUAUUACUCCCCAAACCUGGUGAGGUAGCAGCUAAUUUGUUUUAUCAAUUGAAGCUCUAGAUAUGUGAUUACUCUCAGUGUGGAGUUCUCUUUCAUUUAAUGUUUUGAUUUUUCCACUCUUUUAUCAAGAAAAGUCUUGUGCCUCCAAGAUUGACUAUGAGAGACGUGUUGAAUAAGUAGACACUUAAAUUUUAUAAAAUUGAAUAAGUAGUCACAUGCAUCCUACGUGGCAUAAUACAUGUAGGAUGUCACAUAUGAUGCAAAUUGUCACGUAAAACACCAAGUAGUAUGUGUGUGGUUACUUGUUCAACUCUAUUACAAGCUUAAGUGUUUACUUGUGUACACCAAAGUUGGAGGGCAUAGAUGUCAGAUGAACCCAAGUUAAAGAACAUGUUUAUGUAUGUAUUAUAUAUGCCUUUCUUUUAAGGGCAUCUCCAACCCAAACACCAAAUUUGGUGUCAGCACUAUUUUUUGUGUAAUCAACUCCAACACUACAUCAAAUUUUACACCAAAAAGGAAUAUAUUUCUCUCUCUUCAUUAUUAUUAUAUUAUUUCUUAUUUCAUUUAUAUUUUCUUAUUUCAUAAAACAAAUUCUUUCUAAAACAUUCACCAUAUAUAAUUCAUAUUAUUUCCUUUUAUAAUCAUUUAAUAUAAAAUUAUUUUGUACCAUAAUUUUUUAAAUAAUAUAAAUUGCUAGCAAAUAUUAUACAUUAUACAUAAUAAUGGAUAAUACAAAUAAAAGUGAAAUCAUUAAUGAAAUACAAUUAAAUAAACAUUACAUAAUUGAAAAAAAUAUUUUAAAUUCUACAUAAAUAUUCAACUUUCAAGAUCACUACGGUGCUCCCAUAAAUGCUCUAUUAAUGCAUUACGUAGUUCAAAAUGAGCUUUUUUGUCCUUUAUUUUUUUAUAUCGAGCUAGAAAUUGUUGAAAUUGAUAAUUUUUGUGAAUGUUAAUUGUAGUUAUAUCCAAUUAUAAUUCAUAGUAGAAUUAACAUAAAUUUUUUUUUAAAAAAAAGUCAUAUAUAGAAAAAUUAAUUUAUAAAAAAGCUAAAUUUUAUAUCUAAAAUUAAUAUUAUAGAAAUAUUACAUAAAAAAUAAUUAAAUAUACAAGAGAUUUAAUUAAAACAUACAAUUUAUAUAAUGUUUAAUUAAAAGUUUGUAUAAUAAUAAUAUUAAAAUAUUCAAAAAGUGAAUUGGUGUGAUGAAUAGUGUUACACCAAAUUUGGUGUAAAAAUUGGUGUGGGUUGCUAUUCAAAACACCAAAUUUGGAAUUUGGUGUUGGGUUGGAGAUGGUCCAAGUAGUAUUUAAUGACUUCAUGGUUUGGCACCAGUAGGGAAGAGGGAAAUACCCUAAUAAAAAUAGGUAAAAUUAGCAAUUAAGUCAUAAUACCUAACAUAAUUAGUCAAAAUAACAACACUUUAAAAUAUUUAUUUAAAAUGGCAGAAUGACAAUAUUUUUAUAAAAUAAUAUGUAUUCAGAUUUUAGUAUUUAAAAUUAAUUUUAUUUAUGGAAAGAGUCCUAUAUUGGACCAAACUAUAUAUCAAUAACCGUUUAAAGAAAAAAAAUUUAAACCAAUACACAUUAACCUUUUUUCAACUCCAUUCAACGUUUCUUCCCCACCUUUCACGUUUCAAGUUUAUCUUUCUUCAAAGGUGCUAAAUUGUUGUUCAUCAAGAAAUCUUCUUUAUUGUUAAAAUGAAAUCUAUUUAUUAAUUCAAGCAGAUUUCUCGAUUGGCACGGUAAUUUUCAUUAUCCAUUUUGAUUUAUUUUGAUUUGAUGUUUAAAUCACCGAUUCUAUAUAUUACGGAUUUCCAAACGAAUUUUUCAAUUUUUAUGUGAUUUUGUUUAGUUAUUCAUCAAAUAGUUAUGAUUUUCAAUUUUUUCAAUUUUUUUUGUGAUUUUCUUUUAAUUUUUCAGAUUUUGGAGAAUCUAGAAAUUCAUAUGUAUGUUUAUUUUGUUUGAUAUUUAAUACAUUCUAAUUUUUGAUAAUUUCGAAAUUCAAAUUAUCAAAAAAAAAUUUUUCAUAUUUGAGAUUUAGUAGAUUGUAGUAACUACAUUAGCACACACACAUCAUAUAUUGUUUGAUUUUUUUAUACAUUCAUAUUUAAUAAUUUCGAAUUUUGCUUAUAGGGUUACUAAUGCACAAGUGAAUACGGAUUCAGAUUCGGUUUUGAUGAAAAAAAAUUGAAAAAAGAACAUAGUAUAUGAAGAAGAAGAAGAAAGACAAAGUCAAAUAAGAAGGUUACAAAAUUGUAUUCAUACCACAAUUGUAUUCAUAAUAAUUUUUGUUUGUCAAUUGUUUUUCUUUUACUCAUCAUUUGUAUUUUUACUUUAAAAUAUUGUAUUUCUGUUUUAGUUUGUAGUAAUUUAAAUAGGUAUAUAAUGUAUUCGUCACAAUUCUAUAUAUUAUGAUUGAAUACAUAAUUUAUAGAAUUGUGACGAAUACAUUAUAAGAAGGGAAAUGGAAACUUAUUGGUAUUCAUUUUUUCGUUUGAAAUACAAAAUCAUACUGAAAUACAACUUGAUAUUUGAAAUACAAACUUAGUAAGCCAUAUUUUGUAUUUUAUUUUGCUAAAGCAAUAUAAUUUUAUGAAUACAUAAUAUAUAAAAUUGCAAAUUGCGACAAAUACAUCAUAAGAAGGGGAAUACAAAAUUAUUGAUAUUCAUUAUGUGUUUGAUAUACAAAAUGAUAUUGAAAUACAACCUGAUAUUUGAAAUACAAACUUAGUAAGACAUAUUUUGUAUUUUAUUUGGCUAAAGCAAUAUAAUUUUAUGAAUACAUAAUAUAUAAAAUUGUGCGACGAAUACAUCACAUGAAGGGGAAUACAAAAUUAUUGGUAUUCAUUUUGCGUUUGAUAUACAAAAUGAUAUUGAAAUACAACCUGAUAUUUGAAAUAAAAACUAAGCUAGAAAAUACUUUCUGCAAAUUUAAAGUGAAAUAAUAAUAUAACAAAAUUGGAUAUUGAAAUAUAAAUACAAUUUAUUUUGAAUAAACUUAUUCUAUGUAUUAUAUAUGUAUUCAUUGCAACUGUAUUUUUCAAUAUCAUUUCGAUCUACAACUAAUUUGUAUUUAUAUUUUGGUAUAUACUACACAACUGCCUUUAUUUUUGUACUUGAACUAGAAUGCCAAAGAGUUGUAUUCAUCAUAAAUCAAUACCAAUAUUUUUUGUAUUUUAAAUUAGUAAUACAUAUCAUUAGGUAUUCGAAUACAUUUCGGAUGAACACAUAUUCAAAGAAGUUCAAACAUUUAAAUAUCCAAAACAGAGGGCAUUAGAAAUUUUCCAACACUUCCACUCAUAUAAGAUAUAAAAUACAAACUACUGUUUUCAAAAAAAAAAUUGAAAUUCUUAAGAACAAAGAAAAAACUGCUAGAAAGAAAAAUGGCAACAUAUGCUCUUUCAAAAACGUAACUGAUGUUAAAUUUUAAUUUUUUUUUACCUUUUUUGAAAUUUUUUGUUCCAUGAUUUUCUCUAUUCAGUUAUUAAUUAUUUGUAUUCUUUCAAAUUAAUCAAAAUAAAAUAAAUACAUAACUCAAUCCUUAACAAAUUAAAAUAUUGACAUUUUAAAUAAAUAGUGAAACUAUUGCUAAGGAGUCUCAUUAAAAGCUAAAAUAUUGCUAUUUUGAAAAUUUUCCCAUAAAAAUAUAAUGUCUGUAGUAACCAAGUUUCUUCUUACAAUCCUCAUAUUCAUGUACCUCUCAGAAACCCCAUUAGCAGAACAAAGACAGCAGUGUGUUCCUUCUAGUUGUGGGCAUAUUCAUAACAUCAGUUAUCCCUUUCGAUUGAAAAGUGAUCCAAAGCACUGCGGCCUUGAAAAUUAUGAAUUGAGCUGUGAAGGAAAUCGCGCCAUAUUAACAAUACUGCUAAAUGAUUGGAAUGGAUCACUGAACUACUAUGUUCAAGCCAUCAAUUACGAUAACUCCACUAUCCGCCUUGUAGAUCCUGGUAUAAGAGAACAAGUUAUUUGCUCUCUUCCUCAGAAUUCGAUUACGAUUUACCCUACCCUUGUUGGUUUUGAUUCUCGUAUAUAUUUUGUUCAGUUAACAGUACCAAUCACUCUCUUCAGCUGUCCAUUUGCCAUAAAUUCUCCAGUCUUUGUGGAAAUCACUAAUUGUCUCAACAGGAGUUAUGCUUCCAAUGUUUCUUCUGAUUCAUUUAAGGGACACACAUAUGCAACCAUGAGAAUUAUCACCAUCCGAUUUGAAAGUGGGGUGUACUGUAGACCUCAUCUCAAAGACUUCAUGGCAUAUUCAGGAUGCAAAUGCCAACAUUUCUAUUUUAAGUUUGCAUAAUGCUUUGGCAUAUGGAUUUGAGCUUUCAUGGUUUCAUGACGUUUAUUGCGGCAAGUGCCCCGAUCCAGAUCUAUGUGAAGGGGAAAAUUCAAGUGAUGUUCAUUGU